CGAGCACGCGCGUGUGGCAUAUCAAUAAGCGGAGGAAAAGAAACUAACAAGGAUUCCCUUAGUAACGGCGAGUGAAGCGGGAAGAGCUCAAAUUUGAAAUCUUCAAGGUUCUACCUUGGACGAAUUGUAGUUUAUAGAAGUGUUUUCUGUUAGUGGAGUGGCAAAAGUUCUUUGGAAUAGGACAUCAUAGAGGGUGAGAAUCCCGUAUUUGGUCAUUCCUCCUAGCGUUGUGAUACACUUUCAACGAGUCGGAUUGUUUGGGAAUGCAGUCCAAAAUGGGUGGUAAAUUUCAUCUAAAGCUAAAUAUUGGCGAGAGACCGAUAGCGAACAAGUACCGUGAGGGAAAGAUGAAAAGAACUUUGAAAAGAGAGUUAAACAGUACGUGAAAUUGUCAAAAGGGAAGCGUUUGACACCAGUGUUGUUUUUCCGAAAAUCAAUUACGAAUGUUUUAGUUUUUGAGGAGUUAUGACUUCAUCGGCUUGCUCCUUUCUUUAUGAAACUUUCUUAAUGCACUUUUCGGUUAACAAGUCAACAUCAAUUUCUUUUGUUGUAAAAGGGUAUGAGGAAGGUGGCUUUCUUUUCGGAGAAAGUGUUUAUAGCCUUGUGCCUCUGCAAUCGGAGAGAUUGAGGUCUGCAGCGUAGAUCCUUCGGGGUUAGAUACGUUUGUGCUAAGUUAUAGCUUUCCAUAGACAACUUGUUGACUAUGUUUAGUCUUGUAGCUUACUCGCUGACGCUAUUUUACCUACGCUUAGGAUGUUGAGCGCAUGUCUCUCUCU
rnacentral:rRNA from 1 species